rnacentral:rRNA from 1 species
GACGAACGCUGGCGGCAUGCCUAAUACAUGCAAGUCGAGCGAACAGAUGAAGUGCUUGCACUUCUGACGUUAGCGGCGAACGGGUGAGUAACACGUAAGGAAUCUACCUAUAAGCGGGGGAUAACAUUCGGAAACGGGUGCUAAUACCGCAUAAUAUCUUCUUCCGCAUGGAAGAAGAUUGAAAGACGGCUCUGCUGUCACUUAUAGACGACCUUGCGGUGCAUUAGUUAGUUGGUGGGGUAACGGCCUACCAAGACGAUGAUGCAUAGCCGACCUGAGAGGAUGAUCGGCCACAUUGGGACUGGGACACGGCCCAAACUCCUACGGGAGGCAGCAGUAGGGAAUCUUCCGCAAUGGGCGAAAGCCUGACGGAGCAUGCCGAGUGAGUGAAGAAGGCCUUCGGGUCGUAAAACUCUGUUAUAAGAGAGGAACAAAUUGUAGAGUAACUGCUACAGUCUUGACGGUAUCUUAUCAGAAAGCCACGGCUAACUACGUGCCAGCCGCCGCAGUAA